rnacentral:piRNA from 1 species
UNCUAAGAAGUCCAGGUUCAACUCAGUGU